UACGUAGGGGCCUAGCGUUGUCCGGAUUUAUUGGGCGUAAAGAGCUCGUAGGCGGCUUGGCAAGUCGGGUGUGAAAACUUCAGGCUCAACCUGGAGCGGCCACUCGAUACUGCUAUGGCUUGAGUCCGGUAGGGGACCACGGAAUUCCUGGUGUAGCGGUGAAAUGCGCAGAUAUCAGGAGGAACACCAGUGGCGAAGGCGGUGGUCUGGGCCGGAACUGACGCUGAGGAGCGAAAGCGUGGGUAGCAAACAGG
rnacentral:rRNA from 1 species